rnacentral:misc_RNA from 1 species
GGCUGGUCAAAAAUUUAAAUAUUGUUUAUCAUUCACGAAAUGAUGAAAAAGUACAUUAAACUUGGAGGAAUCACUAAACGAUUUCCUAGUCCUUGUAACAGUAGCAAACAAGAAAUACAUUACAGAAUCACUAAACGAUUUCCCAGUCCCUGUAACAGUUGCAAACGAGAAAUACAUUACAGAAUGUGCACAAGCUCAAGCUUCCAAUGCUCUUUCAAAGCCAAUCCUGCUGCUGCAGCUUCAGUGGCAAAUAAACUUCAGACAAGUACUGAAACCCAAAGGAGCUCAAAGCCUGAAUCUCAGCCUUCUGCUUUGUCUUCACCAUCAAGCUCAACUCCUCAACCCAUCCUGGAUUCUUCUUCACAAAAUCCUCCUCCAACAGAUCCUUGCCGGUCUUAAUAUCCUGCUCAGUCAUCGGCAACCUGCAUUGCUCCGGUAUCUUAUAUUUAUCGAGAUCACUCGGCCUAAUCCCCAGCCACUUGAUAUCAGGAGUAGUCAAAUUUGCACUAUCAUAUGACAUAUUCUUGGAACCACAUCCAUACACUGACAAAAUCUUCAACCCAUAAGGAUCACUAUCCACCAAUGCAAGAACCGGCAAUUUCAGUUCCAUCUUCAUCUUCCUCAAGAACAAUCUUGUUGCUACAUCUGGUUGUCCCUUGGCUGUCACAAUAAUACAGGGAAAACGAUUAUAGAAUCUAUCCUCCGCCAGCCUAAUAUAAGCUGCAUCCUUCUCCACCAGUAGUAUGAACAAUGCAUCACUUUGCAUAUCUCCGACCCUAUCAAUAUUGGGGGGAAUCGCUUUCCCUCCCAUACCCAUUUUAGUACAAUCAAUCAUAUCCCCAUUGUCGCUAAAAAUCAACCUCCCAACCACCACCCCUUUCUCCGCUGCGAUCACGUUGAGAGAAGAUCUGGUGCAGCCCAGCAUACACGAAACGUCAUCAAGAACGGCAUCGGAUUGGGUCUGGUCUUGGAAGAGCUUGACGUCGGUGUAGAAGAGGUCUCGCUUUGUGACGUGGAUGCUUCUAAGGCAAAGUUGGUGAAUUAGAGAGAGAAUUUUGGCGGUGAUGGUGGAUUUUCGUACGGAGGAGUUGUUGGCAAAGGGACGGAGGGUAUUCUUGUCUUUCAAAACGAUGCGGUCGAGCUCCGGGACAUACAGCUGGUUCGUUGCGGCGCGUGAAGGGACGUUAAAGGAGAAGCCCCGGCCGGAGAGGAUGGAGUGGGUAAGGGAGAGGAUUAAGGAUUCGAUGGCGGAUUGGACGGAGAGCAGAGAGAGGUCGGUAACCUCGCGGCACGCGGAGGAGAGGGAGAGGUCAGAGAGGGUUAAGGGCUUGGAGGAAGUGGAGGAGGAGGAGGAAGUGGACUUUAAGAGGGAGUGUAGGGAUUCAAGGAUUACUGAAUCGGGCUUCAGGCGGUUCUUGAAAGGAAGUUGGAGUUGGUCGGAGGAGGAGGAAUCCGGAUCGGCUCGGCGGCGUUUCUUGGCCUUGGUGGUGUCGGCCAUUUGUGGGAGUUGGUCGGAGGAGGAGGAAUCCGGAUCGGCUCGGCGGCGUUUCUUGGCCUUGGUGGUGUCGGCCAUUUGUG